rnacentral:rRNA from 1 species
UACGGAGGAUGCAAGCGUUAUCCGGAAUGAUUGGGCGUAAAGGGUCAGCAGGUGGCCGUGUAGGUCUGCUGUCAAAGAAUGAGGCUUAACCUCAUCAAGGCAGUGGAAACUACACAGCUAGAGUACGGUCGGGGUAGAAGGAAUUCCUGGUGUAGCGGUGAAAUGCGUAGAGAUCAGGAAGAACACCGGUGGCGAAGGCGGGUCUCUGGGCAGUAACUGACGCUGAGGAGCGAAAGCGUGGGGAGCGAACAGG